rnacentral:rRNA from 1 species
CCUACGGGAGGCAGCAGUAGGGAAUUUUCGGCAAUGGGGGGAACCCUGACCGAGCAACGCCGCGUGAACGAAGAAGUUAUUCGUAAUGUAAAGUUCUUUUAACAGGGAAGAAAGCGAAAUUUGACGGUACCUGAAGAAUAAGCUCCGGCUAACUACGUGCCAGCAGCCACGGUAAUAGGUAGGGAGCGAGCGUUAUCCGGAAUUAUGGGGGGUAAAGGGGGCGUAGAGGGCGUAGUAAGUCUUUUGUAAAAAUGCUGGGCUCAACCCAGUAGGGCAAAAGAUACUGCAAAGCUAGAGUAUGACAGGGGAAAGUGGAAAUACAGGUGUAGCGGUAAAAUGCGUAAAUAUAAGUAAGAACACCAGUGGCGAAGGCGGCUUGCUGGGUCGAUACUGACAUUGAGGCACGAAAGCGUGGGGAGCAAACAGGAUUAGAUACCCGAGUAGUC